GCUCCUUGUAACAAGUGAGCGUAAUUACAUCAGUUACUCACUAGAGCACAGACCUGCUUUAAAUUUUGGCCUCUUGGAGACAGCGAGAAGCUGAAGGACUAGAAAAUGCAGUUUGAAAGGCCUGUAACACUACGACCCAUACAAGUCAUGCUGUGCUUUUCCCUUCUCAGGAAUUAAGGUUCUCAGCCACACGUGAGGAGGAGUGAAUAUCUGUACUAGUAAUGGAAAUGGCUACCUGUUAGGACAACAGAUCUGCCGUACCUGAGAAGGAUUUAUGCUUUUUCAAAGCCUUGCCCACUAAAAAAUAUCAUAUCAGGUCCCUUUUGAAUUGAGAUUUGGUGUAAAUUAAUCAUAAAAUACCACACUUUCAAGGGCACCAAAAACUAAGAGCUUAGGGUGAGAGCUGCAUGGGCUGAGGGUGAUCCCUUAAAAAGAGCAGAGCCAACCAAACAAAGGCAUCUGUGUGCCAAAAGAAAAUGCAUUUCACCCAGCAGCAAGAUCCUAGAAGACAGAUAGGACCUAGUGGGGGAAGAAAGUGACCCUACAGAGCAGCAUUCCUGUCCAGGUGCAGGACAGGAGGCUGAUGCAUUUCUGACAGAUCAGGAGAGAAGCGUGCAGUGCUCUUGUGAGCUUAUUCGAGAAAGGACUGAAAGUCCUCUGCAGAAAGAAAGUGCUGUGGUGGGAGCAUCUUUGCUGUGCUCCAGGGGCCCAGAUCCUCUAUUGAGGUAAAUAGGUGUAGCAUGAAGGAAGCCAGUGCUCUCGCCAAAAACUUAUGCCAUGUUGGCAUGGCAGAGGCUGGCUGAUAAGGAGAAAAAUUUCUGCAUGGGAAAGAAAGGAAGCAGUGCUCUGAGUGUAGGAGAGGACUCACGUCUUAUACCCUUUUGUCCUGUAGGGAUGUGACCCUGAUGUGUGGCACAGAUGCUGCUGCAGCUUGGUGAGUUGGAAGGAUGCAGAUGAGGUGUAGGAGAAUGUAAACCAUGCAUCUGGCUGGGAGGGCCGAAUCCUCAGAGAAACUUCUUCCUGAAAAUGUCAUGAAAACUGAUGUGCCCCUAUGAAAAAUGUGGAUUUUGAUGAUUCAGCAUUUUCCCAUGGAAGAUAAAGCUCUUUUGUUCCUCUGACCAGCUCCCAGCAAACGGCUCAAGGGCAUGUGUUUCAUGCUUCCUCCCAGGAACCUGUUCCUGAAGCUGCUGAGAAACUUCCUAGGUUGUGGCCCACUCAGUAGGUGUCAUUGGAUCAGACAGUCUAAAAACUAGCAGAGUUCUUUGUUCUUACAGACCUGAAAACAUGAAAAAUAGUACUUAUGUUUUCUGUGGUAUCAGGUGUUCUCUGAUUGCAUGAGCUUCAGUGGGACCUGGGUGCUGCCUGAUUUUGGGAAGAGUUCUCAGUAGAAGUGGCUCUGCCCUGUCUCUGAGCUGAAGCUGUGGAAAGGAAGGAGCAAUGUAUCACAGGAGCCAAACUGGAGGCAUGAAAGGGACAGCAGGUUUCCACUUCUGAAGGAUACUUCUGAAAAUACUUGAGAUUUGGGUAUCUGAAACGGAAAAUACCUUUACUGAGAUGUGAGAGCUACAGGGACCUAACACCUUUGCAAGAGAUGCCUGUCUACACCAAGGACCAGGGAACUGAGACACAGAGGACAGUGUUUAAGGUAUGAAGCUGGAUUUCUGGUACAGGAGGAGCAGGCAGAACAGAAGGAGGUUGGUACUGGGACAGAUGUGUUAGCAGGCCACAGGUACUUCCAUGUUCCCAGAUGUCAUAUCCAACUUCAUGGUGACCUCUGGCCCAGAGUGAAAAUGAGGACUCAAAGGAUAUUUGAUCAUUUCCCUUUUCUGUAUGCAACUGUGAAGCCACCUUUCUUUUCAGGUGGAUCAAGAUUUUAUCCUUACUGCUAUUACCAUGCCUAACAUUCCUUUUGAGAAACCAUUGUAGUGAAAUUCUUUAAUGAGUCUGAAAUUCAGAGGUGGGUAGAGCAAAAUAAUAAUGCUAGCCAUAAUAAUAAAUAACAGCCCCAUUUUAAUUUGCAUCUCACAAAACAACAACCCAGUCCAAAUUCUCAUCUGCCGUGGAGAUAAAGAGUGCGAUUUACUCUGUCAGCUAUGGAGAACAGACACACGACAAGACAGUUACCUCCGGCCAUAAACAAACCGGAGUGGCUUUGUCUUUUAACAGGCUCCCUUCUCAUCUCCUAUGGAAUGCUACUUUCUGCCUCAUGUAACCCUCUGGACAACUCCACUGACCUAUAUUGUUUUAAUAAAUUUGAGCAGUUUGAGCUAAAGACCCUUCAAUUUUCUGAUGUUGUUGCCACUUCACAGGGCUCCCUUUCUUGCUCUGCUCUGCAAGGUUCCAUAGCUAGUAUCCUGGGAGAAGCUAAAUAAACAGCUUCCAAGUUCCAACACAACCAGUAUGUGUCAAACUUCCUUUUAAAUGUUAGCCUUGGAGGUGAGAAGGAAAAACUGAGUUGACUAGGAAAAUGUAUAACCUUUCAGAAACAGUUCUUUAUUACCUUCCUUAUCACCCCUUUAAGGUCAUAAAGAUUAUGCCAAAGAAGCUAUUAAGUUUUCCAGGAUUGCAAAAUAUUUUAUCAAUGAUAAAGAUGAAGCAUGCCGUUCCACUUUUCAAUUUUUUGCUUUAUAUUUCCUUUUAUGUUUGGGGAUUUGAUCUUAAUCUUCUGUCCGUACCUUUCUGUUUCUGUCCUGAUUGGAGGCAUGGUUAAUUGUUUCUUGUAGCCAGAAGCCUGCACUGAAUUGCAAACAGAAGACCUCUCAGGCAUUCAAAAAAAAAGAAAAAAAAGAGAGUGAACCUGGAAACUAAAAAUGUGAACACCAUGAUUCCUUUACAGGCUCAGCUUCAGAUUUUUCUCUCUGUCAUGGCUCUUGAGAUGUAUAUAAAAUUUCUGAACAGCAAUGACUGACAGCAGUGUUCCAGCAGUGACAGCAAACUGCCUUCUCUACUCGGGUUAAUUUAGGAGCUGGAUAUAUUCUCCCACCUAAAAUCAUCUGUGAAAACUCGACUCCAGAACAUCUCUAGCAGCUAAAUACUGGAGUCUGGGCUGAAAGGGCUGCACACUGGUCUCCACCAGGUUACCCUAGGGAUGAAAUAGGGAUCAAAUGUCGUAUGAUGCUGAGAUUCCGUUCCUCACACGCCACAGUGAGGAGCAGAUUAGUGUCCUGCUCAUAAUGCAUCCCCUCCAAAUCCUUCACUGGAGAAGGAUAUCCAGAGCUUUGGAGAAAUGCUGAAAAGAGGCUCAUGAGAGGCCCAAUUCUUCAUACUGAACUGGAAAAUGUUAUGAGUGGAUUGCAAAGCUCUACUGAAUAUCGAGUUAAUCCAAGAUUUACGUGCCAUAAGCCUCCAGAAAUUAGGCUGUGGUGGGCUUUAGUUAAAGUAGUGUUAGCUAACCUUUUAAGAAAGCCUGUUUUCCUUCCCUGUACAGCCUUUCAGAUAGGCCAUGCUUUCCUGAAGCAACAGAUCCUCAGCUGGCAUAACACAGAUUCAUCUCCCUGAAGCCAGUGAAGCUGGAGGUUAGGAGCAUCUGACCCCAAAACAAUUCCUCUUAAUGGUGACAUGUUUGUUGCCACCAGGCAAGAUGACAGACCGAGUGCUGGUGAUGGAAGAGUAGCAGACAGGCUACCGGCUCAAAGAUUGUCCAUUUGUGUCUCCCAUGGCAUUUAGUACAAAGAGAGGCAGAAGCAGGAAGAUGAGACUCUUCAAUGAAGUUGGCAUGAAGAAGAAGAGGCAAGUCUUGCUCAAGCUAUGUUAGAGUGGAAAAAUCUUUUAUCAGGAAGUACCAAGUAUAAAUCACAAACAGAUACUGCUUGGUUGAGACCAAUUCUGAAAGAAGACAGUAGCCAAUUAAUUAAUGCCAACUGGCAAUAAAACAGAAGAGUAUCACAACA